rnacentral:rRNA from 1 species
UACAGAGGGUGCAAGCGUUAUCCGGAUUCACUGGGUUUAAAGGGUGCGUAGGUGGAUUAGUAAGUCAGUGGUGAAAUCUCCGGGCUUAACCCGGAAACUGCCAUUGAUACUAUUAGUCUUGAAUACCGUGGAGGUCAGCGGAAUAUGUCAUGUAGCGGUGAAAUGCUUAGAUAUGACAUAGAACACCAAUUGCGAAGGCAGCUGGCUACACGAAUAUUGACACUCAGGCACGAAAGCGUGGGGAUCAAACAGG